rnacentral:rRNA from 1 species
ACGAACGCUGGCAGCGUGCUUAACACAUGCAAGUCGAACGCUGAAGCUCAGCUUUUGUUGGGUGGAUGAGUGGCGAACGGGUGAGUAACACGUGAGUAACCUGCCCCCUUCUUUGGGAUAACGCCCGGAAACGGGUGCUAAUACUGGAUAUUCACUGGUCUUCGCAUGGGGGUUGGUGGAAAGGGUUUUUCUGGUGGGGGAUGGGCUCGCGGCCUAUCAGCUUGUUGGUGGGGUGAUGGCCUACCAAGGCUUUGACGGGUAGCCGGCCUGAGAGGGUGACCGGUCACAUUGGGACUGAGAUACGGCCCAGACUCCUACGGGAGGCAGCAGUGGGGAAUAUUGCACAAUGGGCGCAAGCCUGAUGCAGCGACGCCGCGUGAGGGAUGGAGGCCUUCGGGUUGUGAACCUCUUUCGCUCAUGGUCAAGCCGCAACAAUGGUUGUGGUGAGGGUAGUGGGUAAAGAAGCGCCGGCUAACUACGUG